rnacentral:rRNA from 1 species
GGAGGAAUAUUGCACAACGGGGGGAACCCAGGUGCAGCAACGCCGCGUGAGUGAAGAAGGCCUUCGGGUCGUAAAACUCUUUUCUGAGGGAUGAGGAAGGCCAGUACCUCAGGAACAAGUCUCGGCUAACUACGUGCCAGCAGCCGCGGUAAGACGUAGGAGGCGAGCGUUAUCCGGAUUUACUGGGCGUAAGGGGCAAGUAGGCGGUGAUGCAAGUCAGAUGUGACAGAUCCCGGCUCAACUGGGAAAGGACUAUUGAGACUGCAUAACUAGAGGGCAGGAGAGGGGAGCAGAAUUCCUUGUGUAGCGGUGGAAUGCUCAGAUACAAGGAGGAACACCAGUGGCGAAGGCGGCUCUCUGGCCUGCACCUGACGCUGAAGAGCGAAAGCUAGGGGAGCGAACGG